rnacentral:rRNA from 1 species
AUUGAACGCUGGCGGCUCUAAGAAAAAGUGAGGACAUGCAAGUCGAACGGCAGCACGGGGGCAACCCUGGUGGCGAGUGGCGAACGGGUGAGUAAUAUUUUUCGAACGUGUCCUGUAGUGGGGGAUAGCCCGGCGAAAGCCGGAUUAAUACCGCAUACGCUCUACGGAGGAAAGGGGGGGAUCUUAGGACCUCCCGCUACAGGGGCGGCCGAUGGCAGAUUAGCUAGUUGGUGGGGUAAAGGCCUACCAAGGCGACGAUCUGUAGCUGGUCUGAGAGGACGACCAGCCACACUGGGACUGAGACACGGCCCAGACUCCUACGGGAGGCAGCAGUGGGGAAUUUUGGACAAUGGGGGCAACCCUGAUCCAGCAAUGCCGCGUGUGUGAAGAAGGCCUUCGGGUUGUAAAGCACUUUUGUCCGGAAAGAAAACGCCGUGGUUAAUACCCGUGGCGGAUGACGGUACCGGAAGAAUAAGCACCGGCUAACUAC